rnacentral:rRNA from 1 species
UUAUUGGAGAGUUUGAUCCUGGCUCAGGACGAACGCUGGCGGCGUGCCUAAUACAUGCAAGUCGAGCGGGGUUCAUUAGAAGCUUGCUUCUAAUGAACCUAGCGGCGGACGGGUGAGUAACACGUAGGCAACCUGCCCACAAGACAGGGAUAACUACCGGAAACGGUAGC